rnacentral:tRNA from 1 species
AACUAAUGAACUUGUUAUAAGUAUAUACUUUGAAAGUAUAAAAAAGAAAUAGAAUUUUCUAUUAGUUU